CGCGGUGGCUCAACGGUUAAGGCUCUGGGUUACUGAUCCAGAAAGGUCACGGGUUCAAGCCCCAGCACCGCCA